CAACCUCCUGAGGGGGAAGAGGCGCUGUUGUUCCUUCUUCAUGACUGUGCGCGUGUGUAGACCAUGUUAAUUCCUUAGUGAUUUGGACAACGAGGACAAUCUCACAUUGGCCUCGGAGAGUGAGAUCACCAAAUCUUCAGGGUCGGUUGGCAAACCUCACACCCGGCACAAAUGUUGUUAUUGUUGAAGCGUUCAUAAAAUGCACUGAGUUGGUCUUGUAGAGAGGCAUCGCUGGGUAGAUCACGGCUGGGUCUUCCUUUGUAAACCGUAAUGGACUGUAGCCCCUGCAACAUACUGCGGGCGUCAGAGCCUGUGAAAUAUGAUUCCACCUAAAUUGUCCUUUUGCUCGUCUGAUGACUGCAGUGGUCAUAGCGGAACUUCUUCUACUUGUUACUGUCGUCAGCCGUAGCUUCAGGGUUGUCUGGGAUAAGUAAUAUUCCUGUCGUCAGCCGUAGCUUCAGGGUUGUCUGGGAUAAGUAAUGUUCCUGUCCUCAGCUGUAGCUACAGGGUUGUCUGGGAUAAGUCAUGUUCCUGUCCUCAGCUGUAGCCUCCGGGUUGUCUGGGAUAAGUAAUGUUCCUGUCCUCAGCUGUAGCCUCCUGGUUGUCUGGGAUAAGUAAUGUUCGUCCUCAGCUGUAGCCUCCUGGUUUGUCUGGGUAAGUAAUGUUCCUGUCUCAGCUGUAGCCUCCUGGUGUCUGGGUAAGUAAUGUUCCUGUCCUCAGCUGUAGCCUCCUGGGUUGUCGGGGAUGAAGUAAUGUUCCCACAGAGGUCAUAGCGGACUUCUUGUUAUGUUCCCCCGAGGCAGCGAUUGUAUCCCGGCCUAAGGCAGCGUCCCUAGGGCCCUGGUCAAAAGUAGUGCACUAUAUUGACUAGGGUGCCAUUAGGGAUGUAACAUAUUAACCCCUGCUGGACGUAUCAGUGCUGUUAGGCGCGUAC
rnacentral:lncRNA from 1 species